rnacentral:RNase_P_RNA from 2 species
GAAGUCGGUCGGGUAAUCGCUGCAUGAUCUUUGGAUUUGUAGAGGAAAGUCCGGGCUCCAAAGAGCGGGGUGCCGGUUAACGACCGGACGUUGUGAGACGAUGGAUAGUGCAACAGAAAGCGUACCGCCUUGAUCGAAAGAUUCGAGGUAAGGGUGAAAAGGUGAGGUAAGAGCUCACCGCGGCCUUGGCAACAGGGUUGGCAGUGUAAACCCCACCCGGAGCAAGACCAAAUAGGAGGGCUUAGACGUUGCUCGCGUUGCCCUCGGGUAGGUCGCUAGAAUCAAAGGGUAACUUUUGAUCCAGAUGAAUGAUUGCCUCUCGACUUUCAGUCGAAAGACAGAACCCGGCUUAUAGACCGACUUCCAAA